rnacentral:rRNA from 1 species
UACGAACUGUGCGAACGUUAUUCGGAAUCACUGGGCUUAAAGGGUGCGUAGGCGGCCGCCUAAGUCAGGUGUGAAAUCUCUCGGCUCAACCGGGAAACUGCGCUUGAUACUGGGCGGCUCGAGUGAGGUAGGGGUGUGUGGAACUUCCGGUGGAGCGGUGAAAUGUGUAGAUAUCGGAAGGAACGCCAGCAGCGAAAGCGGCACACUGGGCCUUUUCUGACGCUGAGGCACGAAAGCUAGGGGAGCGAACGGG